AUACGGAGGAUCCGAGCGUUAUCCGGAUUUAUUGGGUUUAAAGGGUGCGCAGGCGGCCAUUUAAGUCAGCGGUUAAAUCGUGGGGCUCAACCCCAUUCUGCCGUUGAUACUGGGUGGCUUGAUUGCGGUCGAGGUUGGCGGAAUUCGUUGUGUAGCGGUGAAAUGCAUAGAUAUGACGAAGAACACCGAUUGCGUAGGCAGCUGACCAGACCGCAAAUGACGCUCAUGCACGAAAGUGCGGGGAUCGAACAGGAUUAGAUACCCUGGUAGUCCGCAGAGUAAACGAUGAAUACUUGUUUUCGGCGAUAUAAUGUCGGAGGCAAAGCGAAAGCGAUAAGUAUUCCACCUGGGGAGUACGCCGGCAACGGUGAAACUCAAAUGAAUUGACGGGG
rnacentral:rRNA from 1 species